rnacentral:rRNA from 1 species
UACGUAGGGGGCAAGCGUUGUCCGGAAUCAUUGGGCGUAAAGCGCGCGUAGGCGGCCCGGUAAGUCCGCUCUGAAAGUCCAGGGCUUAACCCUGGAAAGCGGGUGGAUACUGCCGGGCUUGAAUCCGGAAGAGGAGAAUGGAAUUCCUGGUGUAGCGGUGAAAUGCGCAGAUAUCAGGAGGAACACCGGUGGCGAAGGCGGUCUCUGGGCGAGUGAACUGACGCUGAGGAGCGAAGACGUGGGGAGCGAACAGG